rnacentral:rRNA from 1 species
UAGGGAAUCUUCGGCAAUGGACGAAAGUCUGACCGAGCAACGCCGCGUGCGUGAAGAAGGUUUUCGGAUCGUAAAACUCUGUUGUUAGAGAAGAACAAGGACGUUAGUAACUGAACGUCCCCUGACGGUAUCUAACCAGAAAGCCACGGCUAACUACGUGCCAGCAGCCGCGGUAAUACGUAGGUGGCAAGCGUUGUCCGGAUUUAUUGGUCGUAAAGCGAGCGCAGGCGGUUUCUUAAGGCUGAUGUGAAGGCCCCCGGCUCAACCGGGGAGGGUCAUUGGAAACUGGGAGACUUGAGUGCAGAAGAGGAGAGUGGAAUUCCAUGUGUAGCGGUGAAAUGCGUAGAUAUAUGGAGGAACACCAGUGGCGAAGGCGGCUCUCUGGUCUGUAACUGAAGCUGAGGCUCGAAAGCGUGGGGAGCAAACAGG